AUUGAACGCUGGCGGCAGGCCUAACACAUGCAAGUCGAGCGGAUGAAGGGAGCUGGCUCCUGGAUUCAGCGGCGGACGGGUGAGUAAUGCCUAGGAAUCUGCCUGGUAGUGGGGGAUAACGUCCGGAAACGGGCGCUAAUACCGCAUACGUCCUGAGGGAGAAAGUGGGGGAUCUUCGGACCUCACGCUAUCAGAUGAGCCUAGGUCGUAUUAGCUAGUUGGUGGGGUAAAGGCCUACCAAGGCGACGAUCGGUAACUGGUCUGAGAGGAUGAUCAGUCACACUGGAACUGAGACACGGUCCAGACUCCUACGGGAGGCAGCAGCGGGGAAUAUUGGACAAUGGGCGAAAGCCUGAUCCAGCCAUGCCGCGUGUGUGAAGAAGGUCUUCGGAUUGUAAAGCACUUUAAGUUGGGAGGAAGGGCAGUAAGUUAAUCCCUUGCUGUUUUGACGUUACCAACAGAAUAAGCACCGGCUAACUUCGUG
rnacentral:rRNA from 1 species